GGAGUUACAAACUAUACUUAAAACAGAAAUAGAGCACUGAAGCAUCCCAUAUUAAGGAUUUCAACACCAACCAUUAUCAACUCAAUUUACCAGAGUAAUCACCACUUUGCAUCAUUUGCCUCAUUGCUCAGCACCGCACUCGGCAUCGAGAUUCCAUCACUCACUUCACCUGAAAAACAAAGUUCUCUGCACUAUUAGUUUGAUCAUUCACCACGUUCAUAUUUGCUGCUCCAAACUUGCAUUUUAUCCUACAUUUUAACCUCAAGAAAUUCCAUGUUAACACAAUUUUGUUCCAAGAAAAGCUCUUCAAAUCUUCAAUAACUAAAUGUUCUCCUGGAAAUCAAUAUUUAGGAAUAAGAAAAUCUAGUAUCAUAUGAAAAAUCAAUAAUAAAAGCAAAAAAGACAAUUUCCAAAAUUUGUCAAUAUACAUAUAUAUAUAUACAUAUAUGUGUGUGUGUGUGUAUAUAUAUAUAUAUAUUGAUAAAAAAACUACAACAAGGAGUGGACCAAUUGUCAGAUAUAACAACAAUAAUGAAUUGAAUGAAGAAAAUAGAUCAGCUCAUGUAUUUUUUUUCCAAAAAUCAAACCCAACUCCAAAUUGAUAUAAAUUUGCAAAAUUAAACAGUAUUUCACAACUCAGUUAAGACAAGAAAAUGGUUCAAGAGAGGGUGAACCAAACCUGGUCUGGUGAUGUCUCAAGUGACCACAUAGCAAGGGUCAUGAAGUCAGUGGCUUCACAUGUUACUAUCUUCGAAUUUCGUCCAAUCACUUAGCUGGUGUGAAGAGGAAAGUAUAGUCAAAUUAUUUUCAGUUUUCAAUAAACCCAGAGUACGUUUUUUAUUUUUUAUUUUGUAGUGACAUUUUACAAACAAUCAAUGAGCCACUACAGAUGCAAUUGAUUUUCAGUUUCCAAUGCAUGCGCAUUGGAUACCACUUUCAUAUAUAAACUGUAAUAGAGAUGCUAGAAUUGCAAUGAAGAUUUUCAGGAUACCCAUAAGUUGUCUGACAGAACAACUGUAAUGUUUUGAACAAUCGGCAGAGGUACUCAUGGCAAUAAAAUUUAUAAAACUUGCAAAUAUAAUUUCAUUUCUCGUAGAUAUUUUACAAGAAAAUCUGUAGUGCCUUCAUCUAUAAUGUUCAUCAACUUGUUGAAGCACAAUUUGGUGUUGUAUUGCUUUCUCUAACAAGUACAAAACCCACGAAAAGAAUCUCACUCUUCAAGCAGAGUAACAAACUCAACCUUAUAUCCUUGCAACAUGUAGCCCUUCACUUUCUUCCUCUUCUUUUGUCUUGUCCUCAUAGUUCUCAUGAUUUGAGCUCGAUAAUAAUUGCUGAUCAUUUUGUAUGUUGGUACCACCACUCUUUACCAAGGAUAGCUGAUCCAUGGCAAUAGCAUUCCUUUUAUAGUUCCAAACAAGCAUUGAAACAUAGUCCUGAGGAGAAACAAGACCCUGUUCUCUAAUGCAACUUCGCUGCUCUUCCAGAGUUUUGGGAUCAUCAAGCCUUAUAUAUUCAAUCAAUGCCUUCUCAUGAUCAGGUCUCCAGUUCCCUGGGAAGGGUGUAUAAUCAGCUUCAGGAACAAGAGACAUUCUAGUGAACAGAAGCCCAUCAAUUGAUUCAACAAGGCCCAUCCUAAGCAAAUUUUGGUAAUCAGGUGACUGCCCUUUCUUCUCUUUCAGAGGACGACCCAAAUUCCUAGCACCAAUUUUAUACACCUUUGCCCGUGAACGAAGCUUGUAUUUUGCAGCAUAGAGCUUCGCAAGUGAACCCCUAAUGAUGUAAGAACAAAAAUUAACAAUUUUCUUCCGGUUGUCAGCAUAUCGAUACCAUUCAACCAUGGCUAACAAGAACUUGUUCAUUUGCGCAUUCGUGUGAGCUUGAGUGGCAUGGAACAUUCUGAAACAAGGCUGAGGAUCAGGAUCCCUAUCCCCCUUGAGAAAGUUCAAUUUCCUAAAUUGCUUGAUGCAUUGUUUCAAGCUAGCAGUGACUGAUAAGAGGGUGCCCACACCUUUUUCACUAAUAAUCUUCCCUCCAGUGGCUGUAUAACGAAGAGUAGGAUAAACAACUCUCCUACACAACACAUGGUCAAGAAACAUUAUACCCUUAGUUAUAUGUUCAAUAGGGAGGCUUUCGUUGUCAAGCUUGAGCAUAUAUCUUUGAUCAACAAACUCUAUUAGUUGCUUCCUCAGAGUUGCUGCAUCUGCCCUAGGUCCUCGAAUGCCAAUCAAAAUAUGGCCACCAUAACGUACAUAAUCCAUUUUUCUGGUCUUAUCUGGUCCACUAGUUGGCACAAACUCUGGCCAAGAUGUAUUUCCCUGUUCAGCUUCUCCUUCUGGGCUAUUCCAUAUGACAUCACUCUUCGAAGGUCGAUAAAACUCCUUAAUCUUCCUCUCCAUCCAACGGUCCAAUUCAUCAAGACAAAUAUUAGCCAAAAGAGGACUAAGAAUUCCACAGUGACCCCAUUUAGGAUGCUUCUCUGCCUCCUCUGGAGCAAACCCAAAAAAAGACUCUAACCAAUAAGGGUCUGGCUUUGGCUCAUCCUCUGCCAACACUCUCUUCUUCUGAUACUUUCUCUUUGUCUUUUUCUUCUUCUCUCCCUCAUCAACUCGACUCGUGAUUACUGGUGUAACCAAAGCCGAUUUCACCAAAUCAAUCACCUUCUUAUCCCUCACAUCCCUCAUCAAAGCAUUAAUCACCAAACCCACCUUCAUUCCAUCCAAAACUGUACUCAAAUCCCCUUUUAUAUACCACAAAUACCCUGCAAAAUUCCUCCUAAUCACCCUCAAUACCGUGUGUGCAUUCCUCCCCGGCCUAAACGCAUACGACUUUUGUGAAAACCUUGACUCAUAUAUUGGCUCCAAAAUCAUAAACAACACCUCCUGAACUAUCUUAUCCUGAAAUGGGGCUGGUUGUGUUGUAGUCAAUAUGGCCUUAAUCUUCCUCUUAGAUAAAGAUUCAUAAUCAGUCUUAUCUCUAGGCGAUUUUAUAAAGAACUGUAACCUAGCACCCCAUUUAAACCUAUCAUCAAGAACAGCAUUUCUUAAAGUUAACAAAUCCUCUAAUGCUGAUUUCUGAAUAGCACUACGAGGAAUAUACGUGCCCGUUUCAUCAGCAUAUACUUUUUGAUAAGCUAAUACCCACAACUCAAACCUACGAAUAUAAGACGUUAAAUUGGUAACAAUCCUAUCGGGUUCACGAAAAUUUUCAAUCCACAUCUGUGAACAAACUGAGACACCAUCUUCUUUCAUCAGGUUUGUUGGGUCAUCAGGAUCCGGUGCACGCCGCUGCAUCGGAUAGAACGAAAGACAGCGAAAAAAUGAGAACCCAUUUGACUUAGGGUUUAGUGGGUUUACUUGGUGAUGGAAGAUAGUGGCAGAGACAAGAUUGUGAUUUGUGAGAAUACGAUGGCUGAAAAUGGUGAGGUGACGAUACAUCAGGAGAAAGAUAGUGAAAUAAUCAAUCACAACCUUUUAGCUACUAUGUCAUUUGUGGGUUUUGCAAACAAGAUAAUUUACAAAAUUAAGAGUACUUACUUGAUAAUUGAAAUGGUUUCUGGCUGCACUUCAGCUCGAAUUUUGGAUUUUGAAAAUACAAAACAAAACCCUCCCCUCGCAACGUUAAAACCCUGUUCUUUC
rnacentral:lncRNA from 1 species